GGACCCGCACAAGCAGCGGAGCAUGUGGUUUAAUUCGAAGCAACGCGAAGAACCUUACCAAGGCUUGACAUCCCUUGACCGUCAUGGAAACAUGGCUUCCCUUCGGGGCAAGGAGACAGGUGGUGCAUGGUUGUCGUCAGCUCGUGUCGUGAGAUGUUGGGUUAAGUCCCGCAACGAGCGCAACCCUUGUCAUUAGUUGCCAGCGCGUGAUGGCGGGAACUCUAAUGAGACUGCCGGGGAUAACUCGGAGGAAGGUGGGGACGACGUCAAAUCAUCAUGCCCCUUAUGUCUUGGGCUACACACGUGCUACAAUGGCCGGUACAGAGGGCAGCGAAACCGUAAGGCGGAGCGAAUCCCAAAAAGCCGGUCUCAGUUCGGAUCGUGGGCUGCAACCCGCCCACGUGAAGCCGGAGUUGCUAGUAAUCGCGAAUCAGCAUGUCGCGGUGAAUGCGUUCCCGGGUCUU
rnacentral:rRNA from 1 species